UAAUAUCUAUGAUAUAAUAUUUAAUGAUAUUAUAAAUCAUAAUCAUAAAUACAUAUAUUUGUAUAUGUAUUUGUCAAAUUGUAUUUUUACCAUUAUUAUUUAUCAUAAUAAUAAUGAUAAAGUUGAUAUAUCUAUUCAAUAGUUCAGGACGAAUGUAUAUUUAAUGUCUUCUUCCUUCAUUCAAGGUUUAGGCUCUUGCCUGUUCCGACUCACAACAGAAUAAUUGUAUAUCUAGCCUAUCACAGUACGGCAAUCUAAAAUUACAAUAAUCAUUAAAUCAGUUAUUCAUCUUUUAUAUUUUAUAGCCAUCUUUUCCUAGGUCUUCCUGUAUCUCUUUUUCCUAUAGGGUGGUAGUUAAGAAUUUUCAAGGGAAUCCUUUCUGUUGGCAUUCUGUUCACAUGCUCCCUACACUGGUUGCGAUAUGAUAUAACUUUUUCGUUUAUAUUAAAGACACCCUGCCAGCUCUUGCCUUAUAUCCUCAUUUCCAAUGUGGUCCCGGCGGUCUAUUUGUAUUUAUUGUAUUUUGUAUAAUAGAUGUAUAUUGUAUAGUUGACUUAGGUCUUAUUCUUCUAUUUAUUUCAUUUUGGCGCAUUUAUUUUAUUUGUCUAAUAUUAUACAUGUUUCAUUUUUAUUCUCUAAUAUCAUUGUCUAUUGUAAUUAAGUAGAGCUGUAUAUAGUUGGUAAACGUUGUCAAAUUUAUUGUUUCAGAUAAUGAGAUUUCAGAUUCCUUUUCAUAGAUAGAGAGGUACAUUAUAAUACCUUCUAUAGAGUGAAGCCUUUUGGGACUAAAACCAAACGAAGACCAUUAUUGGGAAUCCUGGGAGCGACUGAUCCGAAAUAAUUUUUUUGUUUGGUUAAAUUGAUACAGUAUUGUGUUUUUCCAGUUAAACUAAUGAGAUUUCUGUUUCAGAUAAUGAAGUUUCAGCUUCUUUCUCAUAGAUGGAAAGGAUGAUUAUAAUACCUUCUAUAGAGUGAAGCCUUUUAUGACUAACACCAAAUGGAGCUCAUGAUCGAAGUAGACUCCUGGAAGCUACUGACCUGAAACGCCAACCCCACCACAGUGGGAAAAGGCUGAGAAUAAGACAAAGAGAGAGAAGCUUUACAAAUGUCACCAUUUUCUCACAUCGCUAAUUUUAUCUGUGAAUUUUAGUGAUUCAGUGAAAUAAGUAGUGCAAUAACAUCGAGUGAUAAUCUAGUUAGUUUAGUAAGUGAAUGUAGGCUUCAAAAGUAUGAAGUUCAAGACGAAAUUUUGGCUACCGGUUCGCUACUUCAUGGUUCAAAGAUGGCGUAAUCUGUCUCCAAACUCUGCAAACUCCUCACCAACAUAACUCCAGUCGAAUUUGAAUAUUUCACUAGUGGCUUAUUAGUGAAUUAUGAUCUUUCAUAUUGUUCUGUUCUAUAAUUUAUUCUUCCUCAAAUUGAUUGCUUGAAGUGUUUCUUUUUGAAACGUGAGUGAAUGCAGACCAGUUAUAGCUGUUAAGUGUUGCCAGAUCUUUCUGGGAUUUAAAAGUUUGUUUAGAUGAUUAAUCUUAAUCUCUCAUGCUUAAUAAUACUAACCACAUUGAUACUAACAUACAUUUUUAUCCAUAUUAAUUACUCCAUAAUUCAUUAAAAAUAGAUUAAUACUUAUUUCAUCAAAUUGAUAAGCCAAAGCUGUACUGAUUCUAUAAUUAUAUUUAAAUCAACUUAAUAUUAAUAUAAU